rnacentral:tRNA from 1 species
GGAGAGGUGCCCGAGCGGUCGAAGGGGCACGCCUGGAAAGCGUGUGUGCGGCAACCCCGUACCGAGGGUUCGAAUCCCUCUCUCUCCGCCA